GCAGUCGUAUCGAAGAGGCCAUAACGAGCUCGACUCGAAAUCGAGUUGCCCUAACAGGCACGUGGGUUCGAAUCCCACCGACUGCGCCA
rnacentral:tRNA from 1 species